AUUGAACGCUGGCGGCAUGCCUUACACAUGCAAGUCGAACGGUAACGGGCCUUCGGGUGCCGACGAGUGGCGAACGGGUGAGUAAUGUAUCGGAACGUACCUUUCAGUGGGGGAUAACGUAGCGAAAGUUACGCUAAUACCGCAUAUUCUGUGAGCAGGAAAGCAGGGGAUCGCAAGACCUUGCGCUGAUUGAGCGGCCGAUAUCAGAUUAGCUAGUUGGUGAGGUAAAGGCUCACCAAGGCGACGAUCUGUAGCGGGUCUGAGAGGAUGAUCCGCCACACUGGAACUGAGACACGGUCCAGACUCCUACGGGAGGCAGCAGUGGGGAAUUUUGGACAAUGGGGGCAACCCUGAUCCAGCCAUGCCGCGUGAGUGAAGAAGGCCUCGGUGUAAG
rnacentral:rRNA from 1 species